UCGAUUCCCUUAGUAGCGGCGAGCGAAACGGGAAGAGCCCAAACCAACAAGCUUGCUUGUUGGGGUUGUAGGACACUCUAUACGGAGUUACAAAGGACGACAUUAGACGAAUCAUCUGGAAAGAUGAAUCAAAGAAGGUAAUAAUCCUGUAGUCGAAAAUGUUGUCUCUCUUGAGUGGAUCCUGAGUACGACGGAGCACGUGAAAUUCCGUCGGAAUCUGGGAGGACCAUCUCCUAAGGCUAAAUACUCUCUAGUGACCGAUAGUGAACCAGUACCGUGAGGGAAAGGUGAAAAGCACCCCGGAAGGGGAGUGAAAUAGAACCUGAAACCGUGUGCUUACAAGUAGUCAGAGCCCGUUAAUGGGUGAUGGCGUGCCUUUUGUAGAAUGAACCGGCGAGUUACGAUUUGAUGCAAGGUUAAGCAGUAAAUGUGGAGCCGUAGCGAAAGCGAGUCUGAAUAGGGCGUUUAGUAUUUGGUCGUAGACCCGAAACCAGGUGAUCUACCCUUGGUCAGGUUGAAGUUCAGGUAACACUGAAUGGAGGACCGAACCGACUUACGUUGAAAAGUGAGCGGAUGAACUGAGGGUAGCGGAGAAAUUCCAAUCGAACCUGGAGAUAGCUGGUUCUCUCCGAAAUAGCUUUAGGGCUAGCCUCAAGUGAUGAUUAUUGGAGGUAGAGCACUGUUUGGACGAGGGGCCCCUCUCGGGUUACCGAAUUCAGACAAACUCCGAAUGCCAAUUAAUUUAACUUGGGAGUCAGAACAUGGGUGAUAAGGUCCGUGUUCGAAAGGGAAACAGCCCAGACCACCAGCUAAGGUCCCAAAAUAUAUGUUAAGUGGAAAAGGAUGUGGCGUUGCCCAGACAACUAGGAUGUUGGCUUAGAAGCAGCCAUCAUUUAAAGAGUGCGUAAUAGCUCACUAGUCGAGUGACACUGCGCCGAAAAUGUACCGGGGCUAAACAUAUUACCGAAGCUGUGGAUUGUCCUUUGGACAAUGGUAGGAGAGCGUUCUAAGGGCGUUGAAGCAUGAUCGUAAGGACAUGUGGAGCGCUUAGAAGUGAGAAUGCCGGUGUGAGUAGCGAAAGACGGGUGAGAAUCCCGUCCACCGAUUGACUAAGGUUUCCAGAGGAAGGCUCGUCCGCUCUGGGUUAGUCGGGUCCUAAGCUGAGGCCGACAGGCGUAGGCGAUGGAUAACAGGUUGAUAUUCCUGUACCACCUAUAAUCGUUUUAAUCGAUGGGGGGACGCAGUAGGAUAGGCGAAGCGUGCGAUUGGAUUGCACGUCUAAGCAGUAAGGCUGAGUAUUAGGCAAAUCCGGUACUCGUUAAGGCUGAGCUGUGAUGGGGAGAAGACAUUGUGUCUUCGAGUCGUUGAUUUCACACUGCCGAGAAAAGCCUCUAGAUAGAAAAUAGGUGCCCGUACCGCAAACCGACACAGGUAGUCAAGAUGAGAAUUCUAAGGUGAGCGAGCGAACUCUCGUUAAGGAACUCGGCAAAAUGACCCCGUAACUUCGGGAGAAGGGGUGCUCUUUAGGGUUAACGCCCAGAAGAGCCGCAGUGAAUAGGCCCAAGCGACUGUUUAUCAAAAACACAGGUCUCUGCUAAACCGUAAGGUGAUGUAUAGGGGCUGACGCCUGCCCGGUGCUGGAAGGUUAAGAGGAGUGGUUAGCUUCUGCGAAGCUACGAAUCGAAGCCCCAGUAAACGGCGGCCGUAACUAUAACGGUCCUAAGGUAGCGAAAUUCCUUGUCGGGUAAGUUCCGACCCGCACGAAAGGCGUAACGAUUUGGGCACUGUCUCAACGAGAGACUCGGUGAAAUCAUAGUACCUGUGAAGAUGCAGGUUACCCGCGACAGGACGGAAAGACCCCGUGGAGCUUUACUGUAGCCUGAUAUUGAAAUUCGGCACAGCUUGUACAGGAUAGGUAGGAGCCUUUGAAACGUGAGCGCUAGCUUACGUGGAGGCGCUGGU
rnacentral:rRNA from 1 species